GAUGAACGCUGGCGGCGUGCCUAAUACAUGCAAGUCGAGCGAAUGGAUUAAGAGCUUGCUCUUAUGAAGUUAGCGGCGGACGGGUGAGUAACACGUGGGUAACCUGCCCAUAAGACUGGGAUAACUCCGGGAAACCGGGGCUAAUACCGGAUAACAUUUUGAACCGCAUGGUUCGAAAUUGAAAGGCGGCUCCGGCUGUCACUUAUGGAUGGACCCGCGUCGCAUUAGCUAGUUGGUGAGGUAACGGCUCACCAAGGCAACGACGCGUAGCCCACCAGGGAGGGUGAUCGGCCACACUGGGACUGAGACACGGCCCAGACACCUACGGGAGGCAGCAGUAGGGAAUCUUCCGCAAUGGACGAAAGUCUGGCGGAGCAACGCUGCGUGAGUGAUGAAGGCUUUCGGGUCAUAAAACUCUGUUGUUAGGGAAGAACAAGUGCUAGUUGAAUAAGCUGGCACCUUGACGGUACCUAACCAGAAAGCCACGGCUAACUACGUGCCAGCCGCCGCGGUAA
rnacentral:rRNA from 1 species